AGACCCUUGCCAUCAGCAGAGGCUGCCGCUGCGCGUCCCCUAGGCGCGGAAGAGGCGGCUGGUGGUCCCUGACGGUUUUAUACAUUACGAAUAAAGCUGGCACGUUUCCAUUUCUCCUGGGCAAAUAUUUAGAAGAAAAGUUGCUGGGUAAUUGGUGGAGACAAGGUUUCGCCACAUUGACUGGGCUGGUCUGGAACUCCUGAGCUCAAGCAACCGGCCCUCCUUGACCUCCCAAAGUGCUAGGAUUACAGAAGCACUGAGACCACAGAGGCAAGAGCUGGGGAAGGAAAACUGCCCAUGAGAUGAGAUGUGCCUCUCAGCUUCCAAAAUCGGGGAGGGUUGCAAAGGGAUGACACCAUCCACACCAGAACUGCAUGAAUGGCAUCAGGAAUGAUCAGAGACCAUAAAUUCCAGUGAGACCAAUAACACCAUUUCUGGUCCUGCAUGCUCUUCCAAACUUUGCCACUAACCCCUUCAAGAGAUGCCCCCCAUGGAAUCCAGCCAUCAUGCUGUGAGGAAUCCAAGCAGCUACAUAGAAAGGCCACAACUAGAUAUUCCAGCUGUAGUCAGCUGAAGCUCCAGCCAACAGCCAACAUCAACCACCACACGUGAAAACGAGCAAGCCUUCAGAUGAUUCCGACUCCCAACCUCCAAGCCACCUCAGCUGAAGCCAAGUAGAGCAGAGACUAGCUGUCCCCCAAUGCUCUAAUAUGCAGAUUCAUAAUUAAAAAGAAUGUUAUUGUUCUAAGCCAUGAAGUUUUGGGGUGGUUUGUCAUGCAGCAACUGGAACUGCCUGAUCACACCACACACACAAAAGCAGAAAACAAUGCCAUUUCAAAAUGGCAUUGGGCCACAUGGAAUCCUGCCUCCCAGCCAACCCAACUGCUUCUAGCUCAGCACUUCCUAUUUCUUUUUUCUUUUUUCUUUUUUUUUUUUGAGAUGGAGUCUUGCUCUGUCACCCGGGCUGGAGUGCAGUGGCACAAUAUCGGCUCACUGCAACCUCCGCCUCCUGGGUUCAAGUGAUUCUCCCGCCUCAGCCUCCUGAGUAGCUGGGAUUACAGGCAUGCACCACCAUGCCUGGCUGAUUUUUGUAUUUUUAAUAGAGACGGGGUUUCACCCUGUUGGUCAGGAUGGUCUCGAACUCCUGAUUUUGUGAUCCACGCGCCUUGGCCUGCCAAAGUGCUGGGAUUACAGGCGUGAGCCACCAUGCCCGGCCUCCUAUUUCUCAAUCACAAUCACUACACAACUUCCUUCAGUAGCAUUGGUCACUACCUCUUUUCUCAGUAUCCAAGUUGAAGAAGAGUGAAUUUAUGACCUCUGCAGCUUGACAAUAUUUACAAAGAACUCUCUUGAGAAGUGCUUUAUAAACCUUGUCAUUUAAUCCUCAUGCAGCUCUAUAAUUUAAUAUAUUAUUUCCAUUCAACAGAGCAAGACACAAAAGGUAAAGAAAGCAAGUAAGCCAGGUGCAGUGACUCAUGCCUGUAACCCCAGCACUUUGGGAGGCCAAGGUGGGAGGACUGAGGCCAAGAGUUCGCGAUCAGCCUAGACAACAUAGCAAGAUCCUGUCCCUACAACAAAACAUUAAAAAAUUAGCCAGGUGUGGUAGUGUGCAUCUGUAGUCCUAGCUUCUUGGAGGUUGAGCUACUUGAACACCUGAGCCCAGGAGUUUGAGACUGCAGUGAGCCUCAUGAUUGUGCCACUGCACUCCAGCCUGGACGACAGAGCAAGACUCUGUCUCAAAAAACAAAAAACAAAGAGGGCAAGUAAUUUGCCUAAAUUUCAGUAAGUGUCAGACUUAUAUUCUC
rnacentral:lncRNA from 1 species